rnacentral:rRNA from 1 species
UACGAAGGGGGCUAGCGUUGCUCGGAAUCACUGGGCGUAAAGCGCACGUAGGCGGAUUCCUAAGUCGGGGGUGAAAUCCUGGAGCUCAACUCCAGAACUGCCUUCGAUACUGGGAAUCUUGAGUCCGGAGAGGUGAGUGGAACUGCGAGUGUAGAGGUGAAAUUCGGUAGAUAUUCGCAAGAACGCCAGUGGCGAAGGCGGACUCACUGGUCCG